rnacentral:rRNA from 1 species
UUGAACGCUGGCGGAAUGCUUUACACAUGCAAGUCGAACGGCAGCACGGGGGCAACCCUGGUGGCGAGUGGCGAACGGGUGAGUAAUGUAUCGGAACGUACCCAGUCGUGGGGGAUAACUAUCCGAAAGGAUAGCUAAUACCGCAUAUUCUGUGAGCAGGAAAGCAGGGGAUCGCAAGACCUUGCGCUGAUUGAGCGGCCGAUAUCAGAUUAGCUAGUUGGUGAGGUAAAGGCUCACCAAGGCGACGAUCUGUAGCGGGUCUGAGAGGAUGAUCCGCCACACUGGAACUGAGACACGGUCCAGACUCCUACGGGAGGCAGCAGUGGGGAAUUUUGGACAAUGGGGGCAACCCUGAUCCAGCCAUGCCGCGUGAGUGAAGAAGGCCUUCGGGUUGUAAAGCUCUUUCAGCCGGGAAGAAAUCACAUGGGUUAAUACCCUGUGUGGAUGACGGUACCGGAAUAAGAAGCACCGGCUAACUACGU